rnacentral:rRNA from 1 species
AUUGAACGCUGGCGGCAGGCCUAACACAUGCAAGUCGAACGAGUGGCGGACGGGUGAGUAAUGUCUGGGAAACUGCCUGAUGGAGGGGGAUGACUACUGGAAACGGUAGCUAAUACCGCAUACCAUCAGAUGUGCCCAGAGGGGAUUAGCUAGUUGGUGGGGUACAGGCUCACCAAGGCGACGAUCCCUAGCUGGUCUGAGUGGAUGACCAGCCACACUGGAACUGAGCCACGGUCCAGACUCCUACGGGAGGCAGCAGUGGGGAAUAUUGCACAAGGGGCGCAAGCCUGCUGCAGCCAUGCCGCGUGUAGGAAGAAGGCCUUCGGGUUUGAAAGGACUUUCAGCGGGGAGGCGUUACCCUAUGAAGAAGCACCGGCUAACUCCGUGCCAGCAGCCGCGGUAAUAC